rnacentral:rRNA from 1 species
CCCAAAGAUUCAAGGGGGCUAGGCUUUCGUGAUAUCCACUGUUUCAAUCUGGCGAUGUUGGCAAAGCAGGCCUGGCGGUUAAUCGAGAAUACCGAAUCCCUUAGUGCUACUAUUUUGAGAGUGAAGUACUUUCUUGAUGGGGACUUACUGAAUGCGCAGUUGAAAAAGGGAUCUUUGUUCACCUGGUAGAGUAUCAUGGCGGGAGUGAAUUCUCUGAAACAUGGGUAUAUAUGGAGAGUCGGGAAUGGUGAGAAUAAUUAUAUUUGGGAGGAUGCCUGGAUCCCAAAUUGUGCGGACAGAAAAAUCAUCACGCCGGAAGGGAACCAUCUAAUUUCUCGGGUUGCAGAUUUUAUUGACCCUAAUUCUGGUAUGUGGAACUGGUUAGACAAACUCUUUGGCCCAUUGAUGCAUAACGAGUACUUACUAUCCCUCUCUCUCAUCAUGAUAUGCCAGAUUUUGUUGCAUGCAGCAAUACAAAAAUGGUAUGUUCUCAGUUCGGUCAGCGUAUUUCGUGGAGUGGGAACAUCAACACGGUAA